UAAUAAGGGCCUCCCCCAAGCCCUGUUGAGUCAGUGGAAAGACGCCCACUGGCUUCCUGGCUAGUAAGCACACAGCAGGGUGUUCUGGAAAGGAGCACCCUUAGUAACGGGAGGCCAAGGCUCACUACUGAACACUGAGUCCAGUUCAGAGUUGCCUUCCUGAUUUCCAAUCCCACGGUGGAAUUUCUCCUGCUUAACUAUUCAUCUCUGCUGCAGCUAUUUCUGCUCAAGUGAACAGUGCUGGCUGGGGAUCGUCUUGUGUAUUUCUGCAGUGGUUAAAUGAGCACACUACUGGUCAUUUCAGCUGGAAAAUAGAAGACUAUAUGAUAGAAUUGUUACUGUGCCACCAAAGACACAUUUAUCAAAAAAAGAAGCAGUGCUGCUAGUACUAGUCACAUCAUUAGAAAGCAGGAGCAUAGUAAGAGAGCAAACAUCAGUAGAAACCAGAGUCUGAAAAUUGCAUACCAGAAAAUCCCUGGCUGGACUGCAAGUGGCACAACAAAGAAGUGGGAUUCAAAAAACAGUUAAUUCCUCCACACAAGUGGAACUUUAUUUGAUGGGAAAGAAAAAUAUAAUAACUAAGGAAGAGAGACUCUGCCGUCCCAAGAAUGGAUGGACUGCCACACCAUAUCAUCUGUCACCCCAGGCACAUGUUUGCUCCGCUGGUGCCUGGAGCCGACCCUGUAUGCUGUCUUCAGUCAAGAAGGAGGAGCUAAGCAGAGGGAAUGCCUUGUUCUGACCAUCCAUUGCAGAAGCACUGAGACAUUGGUGAGGACAGCACACAGCAUCGUCCAAGGGAUUGUGGAGGAGGAGAGGAAAGGAGGGCAGGAAUGUUGAAGGAAAGUGACUGAAAGGCAAAGUGGGACCAGAUGGAAUGCUGAUACCUGUGUGUUUACAGAGUAAGGAAAGAGUUGGGGUGAGAGCAAAUGAGGGGAAAUAGGGUAAGUGUAAAUGCAGAGACAGGGGAAAUAGGGUAAGUGUAAAUGUGGGGUACAGGGGGAAGUAUCUCAAAGUUUGGAAUUUAUUUCCCUGAAAUUGACUUUUUUUUCUAUACAGAAAUGUGGCUUCUCCCCUAGGCAGGAGGGUGCCGUGGUUACAAAUGUUUAAGGUUUUUCGUUAGUUGACAUUAUAUAGGUUAGGGGAAUAACUUUAAAAUUGCAGUGAUGUCAUAUCUUGUUGUUCAGUGGAAAGACAAGAAAAGGUUACUGUGGUUAUUUGUGGUUAUACCUACUGGUGAAUUUUUCGGGGAAUUUGAAGUAGCCUUAUAUUUUUAAGUGCCUCGUUGUGGUUAGUGUGAUAUUGGUGUUAGUGACAGUCCUUAUUGCAAUAGGCUGAAACAACAUAUAUACUUAAGAGCUCAGGAAGGACUUGAAAAUGGGAUUCCAACAUUUUUUUAAAGAUACUGCUUUACAUGCAAAACUCUACCUCUCUGGAAGCCUAGCUUCAGAAUGAUCCGUCCCAUUAUCAUAAAGCUGGACAGCUUUAAAUACAAAAUGCUGAUUUUGAAAAGCUUGUAUCAGUAGCCUUUUGUUUUAUAAACUAUUAAACCAGUGUGCAGAAGGCUGUCACUGACCAUUUGUUCCACUGGUUGCUGAAUGAAGAAUUGAAUAGUAGGCAUUUAAUUUACCUAUAGUAGAGAGAGUAAAGAUGGAAAAGUCUAGAGUAUUGUUGCAGAGGUAGAGAACAAGAUGCUUCGGUUAUGAACAGCUUGUGCCUCAGUGAGGUCUGUUUAUGGUGUGUGGACAAACGGACUGAAAGAAGAGACUGAUGCUUAAUGAAAUCAUCAAAGCUAUUAUAAAAGACUAAAAUACCUCUAAAUUGUUUAUAUCAAUCCAGCUCAGGGUGCUAGUGAAAAAAUGCUAACAUCUGAUGGCUGUUCUACCUAUGUGAAAUGAGUUUGAUAGUGUCAGUCCAGUGCUCGAUGGACAAGUGUCCCCAUCACAAGAUGGGCUACCAUAAGUUGUUGGCAAUGGAAUGGCUAGCCAUGGUAUGGCUAUGUAAACUGAACUACCCACUAACCAAUAGAGUAGUUCAUCCAGGUAAGUACUGAGCUAGAAGGGCAGGGAGAAGCUUACACAGGUGGAACAGAGACACCGCCAGUACAUUUGAUUGAGAAAUUCAGCCUGCAGCACUGACAAUCCAGAACCCUCUCCCCCCCCCCCCCAUAUGGGUCAUGGAGGCUUGAAGUAAGAGCAAUUAAGCAAGGACUUUAAAAAAAGAAAGAAAAAAGACAGCAAUAACAUUGCCAAAUUUGUCAAAAGAGAUGGAACUUUUUAAAAAGUGAAUUGAUGAAAUGUGCCAGAUAGCUCUAGAGACUGAAGUCCUCUGACUAAAAGUCAGGUAUAGCUCAGACAGUGGCAGUGAGUGUUUAUUCUGCCCCACCAAUGUGCUUCCUCCUUUACCCAGCUGAGUGAUGUAGCUAUAAUACUGCAGUUGGGACACACCUAGUUUCAACUGUCACAUAGAGUGCAUUUUCCCUUCCAAAAUAACUCAGAAGGUCAAAACAAUACCUAACAGAAGAUCAUUUUUUUUCUGCAAGAAUGAUCCUGUACUUUGUACUUGACACUUUAAAAUAAAGGUUAAAUUGUGCCAAAUAUAUUGGGAGAGAAGAUGUCAGGGCUCAAAAUGGAAGGUCAUCCUAUCACCAUUUAUCAAGCCCACAGCCCGAGUGCCAAAUAGCCCACUUAAACAUCAGUACAGAGGUGGAAGGAAGUGUUGCUCUAAGGAUCCACACUUGGAAGAGUUCAGUUUAGCAGGAAAAAUGAGUAGCUGAUAGGGGUAAGUUAAAGUAACUGCCUAUGCAGACCCAAAUCCAGCCUUGUGUAACUUCACUGAUUUCAUGAAUUGGACCCAAACACUAUAACUUGCAGCUUCUUUGGAUCUCUCAACAUAAAGUGUAACCAGAUCAGACUGCCUUACAUCUUCCUCCUGAUGUGUUAAUUGUACCAUCUUAUAUAUCAACUCUGAAUUUGGCACUGAGAGUUUUGGAAGCAGAGGUCUUUCGUGUACGAUAAAUAUAUAGAUGUAAAGUCAGGAGCCACAUGUGUCAUCCUUCACCCACUUCAUGAGACUCCUUGUAACUGUUUCAGGAUAUCCCUUGACCCUCAAUGAUGGUGUUUCAUAUCCUUUUUUGCCCUUAAAAUACACAUCAUCUUUAUUAUUUUUCACAAAACAGGUGAAUUCUCAUCCCCUUUCUCACAACACUUUGUUCUGAAGAAAUCAUGAACAGAGACUUUUAUAGAACUCUCAAGAUACCACACUCAACAGUGAUUUAACUUCUCCUACUCUAGCCUUCCUGCCCCACAGUCCUUAUCUAGAUGUACUCAUUAGCAAAACCUAUUAAAAGCAACCAAAUUAAUACACUUUUAAUAAGAGGAUGUUGGUUAGUGACAGCAACACUGGGAGUCUGUCAGGUGGUCAGAUAUUAUUAAAAUAUUUACCAAAAGAAAAGGAAACUGCAAAAUAAAGAACAGGAUACAGGACUAAGAUCAGCCUUGUUCAGGAUUCUAAGAUAUUGUGGUUGGAAACACCUUGCAAACUUUAAGGAUGUGUAGUCACUUUUCCUCUGCUACUUUUCCCCAGUAUUUAUCUUGAAAUUCAAGUAAUGUCUUGAACAUCUGAUCACUCCGUCCCUUCCACUAACUGCUCACACUACAACAGAUUUUAAGGUCUAUUUUUGAGCCUGCAACACUUGCACGUCUCUCCAAUGAAAGGAGUUUAUACAAUUAAAAAUAAUAUCUUGUAUGUAUGUAAAUCAAAAGUUGUAUUGAACUUACUUUUCUCCUCCUAAGAUUUUCAUUCUGAAAGCCAAACUAGAGUGGCUGUUUCCUGAGCCAUUAUGAGAAUGUUUUAAAACUGUACGACCAAAAUAAUGUGUCCUAAGCAAAUAUGCCAAUGUUAUUGAUAUAUAUGGUAAAUUUUCUUUAUUUAAUAAUCAUGGAAUAAAGUUAGUUCAUCCAGGAUGAGACAUCCUCCCACAAAAAAUUCAUAAAAUAUAAUUCCAAUUAUUUUAAGUUCAAAAUAAUGAUAUUCAAAAGUAUGCCCCCAAAUUAGAAUUCCUCUUUUAAAAUUAUUUUUUUCCUCUGAAUUUCAGAAAUAUCUCUAUCCCCAUUCCCAUUUAGAUAAUGAAAGUUUACCUGCAUUUCAUUUGACAAAACUGGUCUGACUGGACCUCAUCUGUAUUAGGAACUGUAGUAUUUUGAAAAUUACUUUUGCAAUGCUGUCCAUAAGCUAAAACCAAUCAGAAUCAGGACCUCUUGUUUAUCAGUUUUAAUUAAGACAUUUCCUAAAAUUGAUUCCGUUAAAAGGGGAACUACAUUAUGGCUUCAUGUUCUCCAAGAAUGUAUCCACCUGGCUGUUGGAGAAUAACAAUGCAAAUCACAAGAAGUGAGGAGUUAGGACAGGAUCAAACAAAGAACUUUUUUUUACACUGACAUUUCAGCAGAUGACCCUCUUCUUGCUCACGCUUGCUCUCCCAAAUGCUAGAA